AUUUUAAACUGCUAACUACACACCUAUACUUCAGGAACUAUUACUACUAUGUGGAUGUAAGCAAAGUGUUCUCAUUCCCUCUUGGAUGUGUGCAGCCAGUGAGGUACGUUUUGUUUAAGGGCUUGUUAUAUCUGCUCGACGGCACGGACAGCUAACUGGGAUAGCGAGUGGAGCUAGCGGCUGCCGGAUGGAGCAGCCAGUCAGCCAGCUUGCUAACUACACACCGGUGCUUACGUCCACAUGUACUCAACGAAGUGGAAACGCCUUUGACGAUGCCACGUGCAAAGUCAUGCCACCAUCAAUGGGAAUGGCACAUUGGACACGUGGCUUUCAACUCCAGCGAGGUGGCGGCACGGAUCUCUGCAUGUCUGACUGACAUCUCCCAGUGGAUGUCCGCCCAUCACCUGAAGAUCAACCCCGACAAGACUGAACUACUUUUCUUCCCUGGAAAAAACUCGCCCACUCAGGACCUGACCGUUAACUUUGGCGAACACCGUUAACAUCAGGAGAAUACCACCCCUUCUCACUCAGAAGGCGGCGCAGGUACUGAUUCAGGCUCUUGUCAUCUCUCGCCUCGACUACUGUAACUCUCUGCUGGCAGGUCUCCCUGCUACCGCCAUUCGACCACUGCAGCUCAUCCAGAAUGCAGCAGCUCGACUGGUCUUCAACCUUCUGAAAUACUCCCACACCGCUUCUCCCUUCACUUCAUUGGUUACCAGUGGCUGCCCGCAUCCAGUUCAAAGCAUUGGUACUGACGGACCACGCUGUGAAUGGAUCGGGACCAGUCUACAUCCGGGACAUGGUGAAACCCUGCAUCCCAACCCACGCACUCCGAUCUGCAUCUGGCAAGCUGCUUGUUCCUCCCUCACUGAGAGAAAAGCACUCGACGAGAUGGCGACUCUUUGCUGUCCUGCUCCCAGAUGGUGGAAUGAGCUCUCUGAUGACAUCAGGACCGCAGAGAGCCUCUCCAUCUUCCGUCGAAAACUCAAGACACACCUUUUUAGACUCUACCUUGACCAAAACACUAGCAAACCGUAGCACUAACAAAUGGUAGCACUUAAA